AGAAUGGAAUUUCAAAAAAAUUCUUUCUUAGGAUUAAAAAUUGAAAUUAUUUUUUUUUGUGAAGAAACAACAAUGAUAAUUAAGGACAAGAAGACCCUAAGAAUUUUAAAAGAGAAAGAAUACUUUAUCUCUCUUUUCUUUUUAAUUGGGGCGAUUAAUAAAUAUUAAAAACUUUAUUUAAAAUGAAAUAUGAACCGUUACUAAUGGUCAAAUGAAAAAAUACUCUAGGGAUAACAGCGUAAUAAUUUUUGAUAGUUCCUAUAGACAAAAUAGUUUGCGACCUCGAUGUUGGAUUAGGAUUCUUUUUUAAUGAAGAAGUUAAAAGAAGAAGUUUGUUCAACUUUUGAAAUCCU
rnacentral:rRNA from 1 species